AACGAACGCUAGCGGCAGGCCUAAUACAUGCAAGUCGAGGGGCAGCGCGGUAGCAAUACUGGCGGCGACCGGCGCACGGGUGCGUAACACGUAUGCAACCUACCUUCAACUGGAGGAUAGCCCGGGGAAACUCGGAUUAAUACUCCAUAACACAGGGAUCCCGCAUGGGAAUAUUGUUAAAGCUACGGCGGUUGAAGAUGGGCAUGCGUUCGAUUAGCUAGUUGGUGUAGGUAACGGCUCACCAAGGCUACGAUCGAUAGGGGGUCUGAGAGGAUGAUCCCCCACACUGGUACUGAGAUACGGACCAGACUCCUACGGGAGGCAGCAGUAGGGAAUAUUGGUCAAUGGGCGCAAGCCUGAACCAGCCAUGCCGCGUGCAGGAAGAAGGCCCUCUGGGUUGUAAACUGCUUUUGAUAGGGAACAAAUGCCACUUGCGAGUGGAGCUGAGUGUACCUAUAGAGUAAGCACCGGCUAACUCUGUGCCAGCAGCCGCGGUAA
rnacentral:rRNA from 1 species